UAAUGUCUGGGAAACUGCCUGAUGGAGGGGGAUAACUACUGGAAACGGUAGCUAAUACCGCAUAAUGUCGCAAGACCAAAGUGGGGGACCUUCGGGCCUCAUGCCAUCAGGUGUGCCCAGAUGGGAUUAGCUAGUAGGUGGGGUAAUGGCUCACCUAGGCGACGAUCCCUAGCUGGUCUGAGAGGAUGACCAGCCACACUGGAACUGAGACACGGUCCAG
rnacentral:rRNA from 1 species